GACGAACGCUGGCGGCGUGCUUAACACAUGCAAGUCGAACGGUGAAGGGACCAGCUUGCUGGUUCUGGAUGAGUGGCGAACGGGUGAGUAACACGUGAGUAACCUGCCCCCUUCUUCUGGAUAACCGCAUGAGAGUGUGGCUAAUACGGGAUAUUCUGGGUCUGUCGCAUGGCGGGCCCGGGAAAGAUAUUGCUUCGGUGGGGGAUGGGCUCGCGGCCUAUCAGCUUGUUGGUGGGGUGAUGGCCUACCAAGGCGGUGACGGGUAGCCGGCCUGAGAGGGUGGACGGUCACACUGGGACUGGGACACGGCCCAGACUCCUACGGGAGGCAGCAGUGGGGAAUAUUGCACAAUGGGCGCAAGCCUGAUGCAGCGACGCCGCGUGAGGGAUGGAGGCCUUCGGGUUGUAAACCUCUUUCGCCAGUGAAGCAGGCCUGCUCCUUGUGGGUGGGUUGACGGUAGCUGGAUAAGAAGCGCCGGCUAACUACGUG
rnacentral:rRNA from 1 species